rnacentral:rRNA from 1 species
ACGAUGAAGAACGCAGCGAAGUGCGAUAAGCAAUGCGAAUUGCAGAGCCGAGAGUCAUCAGAUUUUUGAACGUAACUGACACCGGAGGGUACUCUCUUCGGUAUGCUUCUUUCAGUGUGUGAAUCCCUCAUCACCCAAACCUUAAUGCGAUAGAUGCCCUUCUAUUGCUAAGCUCGAGAGCACUCUGUUCUCUGCAGCGGAGGUCUUCGGACCGAAGCACUCAAUGCAGUAGUCACAUUCUCAAAUGUGAACUCAUUGAGCGUAGAGUCAGUGCAUGUUUACAUGCCAGUGCUUGGAUACACAAAUUUUCUCAGCAUCUGAAAUGAAGUAGGACCACCCGCUGAACUUAAGCAUAUCAUUAAGCGGAGGAAAAGAAACUAACAAGGAUUCCCCUAGUACGGGCGACGGAAGCGGGAAAAGCCCACACUGGUAAUCUCCGGGCGCUAGCUCGGCGAAUUGUAAUCUGAAGAUAGCUAGUCUACCUGGACCGGACGCCUAAGUGCGCUCGAGCGCGCCGCCGAAGAGGGUGAGAGCCCCGUACGGUGUCGGGUCCUACAAGGGCUGGUUGUCGAAGAGUCGUGUACUUUGAUACUAGUGCACUAAGCGGGAGAUAAACUUCUUCUAAGGCUAAAUACAAGUAGGAAACCGAUAGCGAACAAGUACUGUGAAGGAAAGAUGAAAAGCACUUUGGAAAGAAAGUUAAAAGACUUGAAAUCGUUGAGGCGGACCCGGUAGAAAUGUAUUCUAGCGAAGCGCCCUGGGAAGCCUGUAUUCGGGCCACUCGGGCGUCAGCCGAGACAAGAUGGAGUCGCCGGAUGCCACAGAGGCCGAACGCGAGGGAGCUUGCUUCAGCGCGUGCGUGCCGGGUGUCGGGCGGCUUGAGGGGCCUUGAGCGAUCUUGUCAAAAUGGUUUUUACCGACUCGUCUUGAAACACGAACCAAGGAGUCUAAGACUAACGCGAGUGUGGUGGUGGAAAAACCAACACGCGAAAUGAAAGUAAACGAUGCCAAGCUCCCUGCAGCAUCGACCGACCACUUUCUCCUGGAAGAGGUUUGAGUAAGAGCGUUAUUCUUAGGACCCGAAAGAUGGUGAACUAUGCCUGUGUAGGGUGAAGUCAGGGGAAACUCUGAUGGAAGCUCGUAGCGAUACUGACGUGCAAAUCGUUCGUCGAACAUGGGUAUAGGGGCGAAAGACUAAUCGAACCAUCUAGUAGCUGGUUCCCUCCGAAGUUUCCCUCAGGAUAGCUGGGACAAGUACGCAGUUUUAUUAGGUAAAGCGAAUGAUUAGAGGCAUCGGGGAUAAAAUGUCCUUGACCUAUUCUCAAACUUUAAAUUGGUAAGAACUCCAUUCUUUUCUUAACUGAAGACGGAGGUUCAAUGCGUGUCCUUAGUGGGCCAUUUUUGGUAAGCAGAACUGGCGAUGAGGGGUGCUCCUAACGUCUGGUUAAGGUGCCAAACUACACGCUCAUCAGAAACUACAAAGGGUGUUAGUUCAUGAAGACAGCAGGACGGUGGCCAUGGAAGUCGGAACCCGCUAAGGAGUGUGUUACAACUCACCUGCCGAAUGAACUAGUCCCGAAAAUGGAUGGCGCUAAAGCGUGUGACCGAUACCGGACCAUUGGUGCGAGAGUUAUGCAUCAAUGAGUAGGAGGGCGUGGGCGUCGCGGCGAAGCCUCUAGCGUGAGCUUGGGUUGAGCGGCGUCUAGUGCAGAUCUUGGUGGUAGUA